rnacentral:rRNA from 1 species
UACGAAGGGGGCUAGCGUUGCUCGGAAUUACUGGGCGUAAAGGGCGCGUAGGCGGAUAGUUUAGUCAGAGGUGAAAGCCCAGGGCUCAACCUUGGAACUGCCUUUGAUACUGGCUAUCUUGAGUAUGGGAGAGGUGAGUGGAACUCCGAGUGUAGAGGUGAAAUUCGUAGAUAUUCGGAAGAACACCAGUGGCGAAGGCGACUCACUGGCCCGAUACUGACGCUGAGGCGCGAAAGCGUGGGGAGCAAACAGG